GUGCACUUUGGCAUCACAUACACAAAAGUGGCAAUGAGAUGGAAAAGAUUAGCCUGGCCCCUGUGCAGGGAUGAUAUGCAAAUUCAUAGCGUUCCAUAUUUUUUU
ensembl:snRNA U6 U6 spliceosomal RNA